GCCAGUUGUUGACAUAGUCUUCAACUUCGGUAGUGAGACGAGAAGGACCAAGAAAAUAGACUGAACCGUCUCUUACAGGUUAAGCUGGGACACGGACAAAGUGAAACAGAGAAGAGCAUCAGCAAACAGCACAGAACCGUGAAACUGAAUACAGGAAUCCAGACGGGGACAAGACAAUUCCUUCAUUCUUCACCCACCCCUCUGUUACACCAUGAACUCCAUGAACACCAUGAAGUCAUCGUCUUUUUCCAAAGCCGAAAACAGCGUGACCCAGAAGCGGGGCUGGACACAGGAGGCUCUCCUAGGCAGGAAUAAACACUCACGAAACAUUGACCAAAUGAGUUCAAGAAUGUUCCCGAUGGGAGGGGACCGUGGUUCAUUCUCACAACUCUCUUGUGUGCCCCCUUAGAUUCUGGCAGCUCUAAGGGGGUACAAUCAGGGUUCAUUCAUUGAGGGAAUGAAAUAGUAAUAACAGCAAAACAGUAAUAAUAAGAAAGAAAAAUGGGCCAUCAGAGGGAUGUUCAGUGUCCUCGGCAUUUUCCAAACGGAAGUGAAUUUGCAUCUCUGACCGUUUUCCAUAGUUAUGUGUCUAAAGAUCUAAGCAAGACAAACCCCUUUAAUCUUUUAAUUAUCUUUUCCUGCCCUAAGAGUAAAUAAUUGCUACUGAAUCCAAGACCUAAGAAAACACACAAAUGCUUUUUAGAUACAACUAAGAAGAAAGGAACACCUACUCUUUUUCCAUUACCCAUUCCUACUUCAAAAUGCUUUCUGAUUCUCUUAUUAAAAUGCAAAAACUUGCAAAGAAAAAACUGUUUCUUUAAGUGUCGCUCAGUGAGUAAAGCCUUAAAAGCGUGAUACAAAG
ensembl:lncRNA